GUGAGGGCACAUGGCGUUCAGGUGGCGCAACUAACGCAUCAAGUCCAUCCGCCUGGGGAGUACGGUCGCAAGAUUAAAACUCACAGGAAUUGACGGAAGAUCAGAGCAUUGUCCGGAUAUAUAGGGCAUUAAAAGUACGUACGUGGUAUGUAAAGUUUGGUGUUAAAAAUCGGGGCUCAACCCUGGGACUGCACUGAAUACUGGCAGACUCGAGUGUGGUAGAGGCUAGUGGAAUUCCCAGUGUAGCGGUGAAAUGCGUAGAUAUUGGGAAGAACACCGGUGGCGUAGGCGACUAGCUGGGCCAUAACUGACGCUGAGGAACGAAAGCCAGGGGAGCGAAUGGGAUUAGAUACCCCAGUAGUCCUGGCCGUAAACGAUGGAUACUAGGCGUAUCGGGUAUCGACCCCUGAUGUGCCGCAGCUAACGCGAUAAGUAUCCCGCCUGAGUAGUACGGCCGCAAGGUUGAAACUCAAA
rnacentral:rRNA from 1 species